UACGUAGGGUGCAAGCGUUGUCCGGAAUCAUUGGGCGUAAAGAGCGUGUAGGCGGCCACUUAAGUCCUGCGUGAAAUCCUGCGGCUCAACCGCAGGCGGUCGUGGGAAACUGGGUGGCUAGAGUGCGGGAGAGGAGAGUGGAAUUCCUGGUGUAGCGGUGGAAUGCGCAGAUAUCAGGAAGAACACCCGUGGCGAAGGCGGCUCUCUGGAACGCAACUGACGCUGAGACGCGAAAGCGUGGGGAGCAAACAGG
rnacentral:rRNA from 1 species